AGCGAACGCUGGCGGCGUACUUAACACAUGCAAGUCGAACGGGGAGUUCGCGGGUCGCAAGACUUGCGGGCUUCUAGUGGCGCACGGGUGAGUAACACGUGAGUGACCUGCCCUUGGGUCCGGGAUACCUCUUCGAAAGGAGAGCUAAUACCGGGUACGUUCUCCGGGCUGCGAGGCCGGGAGAGGACAGGCCGUGGCAGCACGGUCGCCGAAGGAGGGGCUCGCGGCCUAUCAGCAGUUGGCGGGGUAAUGGCCCACCAAGGCGAUGACGGGUAGCUGGUCUGAGAGGACGAUCAGCCACACUGGCACUGCGACACGGGGCCAGACUCCUACGGGGGCAGCAGUAAGGAAUAUUGCGCAAUGGGCGAAAGCCUGACGCAGCGACGCCGCGUGGGGGAUGAAGGUCUUCGGAUUGUAAACCCCUUUCGGGAGGGAAGAUGGAACGAGCAAUCGUUCGGACGGUACCUCCAGAAGCA
rnacentral:rRNA from 1 species